rnacentral:misc_RNA from 1 species
GCCUCACUCAUCUCCGACUCCACCGGCGCCUCGAACUCCACGCCCCAACACGCACCCAUACAAUUCGGUGCCAAUUUUCUCUAUCUAAUCUAUCUUUUCCGGUGAAUUUUAUAUUUUUUGCUUCUCUGCCUCUUUCGUGCUUUCUAUCUCCCACCAGAUUGUAAAUCCUAGGUGUAUUUCCAACUGAAUAACUUCUAAUUCUUAACUUGCGAUGGUCUUUUGUGUGUAUUAGAGAUUAGGGUUCAGUGGAUCUUGUUGAAAAUUUAGAAUUAGAAUCUGCAUGUUAACAGUUGUAGAAUCAUCGAACUAAGAUAAUCCUGUUGGUUGACUUUUUGAAUAUCAGGUGAGUAUGUUUGUUCAGGAUGAUUUUCUAUUUAUCAGAAAAGGUAAAGUUAUUUUGGUGAGAAAUGGACUCUUCUACUUUUGAAAUUUGAUAGAAGCAGAGGUUACAAUAUAUAUAAUUAUUUCUAUGUAGAUUUUAUGCAUUUUCGUCUAGCAAAUGAAACAAAUAAUGUUGCUUUUGUUUGUCCGGAGAAAGAGUAUCUGAUAUCCUCUUUCCAUUGCUAACAACUAAGUGAUUAGAGCAAUUGACAUUUUCCUGUUUCGACCCCUUACCCACAACUUACAUCUCAUCUGCACAUUAACUCAAUUUGUUGCCUUGUCGGAGUUCUGUUUGGCAAAGAGGAAAAAUGGCCAAGUCUUCUUCAGAUUCUGGCGCACACAAGCCCAUGAGCCUGGACCUUCUUCCAUCAGCACUAUUGGCCACUGUGAUGACAAAGCUGGACAUAGCUUCCAUUCGUUCCCUGGCAUGCACUUGCAAGGCCUUUCAUUCAUGUGCCUCACACAUGCUUUGCUUCAUUCCUAGUUUUCAUCUCCUUGAUGUUGCUCCACCUGCUGAAUAUAUAAGGCCGUUGCUACCUCCCAAUCCUUACCUUCGUAGCUUGAAGGUAGAUUGCAUGCGACUUGAUGAUUCAUCCCUUGAUUGUCUUCUUCAGCCGAAUUUACAAGAGCUUUGCCUUCAUAACUGCGCUGAUUUCAGUGGAAGACUUCUCUCUCAGGUCGGCCACUACUGUAAAGACCUCAGGUUUCUUUAUUUGAGCUCUUUGGCGGAGAAGAGAGGCAGAUCAAUCGAUGUAUCUGAUCUAGAGGUCUUAUUUGGCGGAUGCACUCAGCUGGAAACACUGAUCCUGAUGUUUGAUGUCUCAAUGUUUUUGCGGCACAAUUUUGCUCGUGUUUGGUCUAUAGCCCCUGCGACACUGGUAUCUCUUGAAAUGGGCUACAUUUCUUCGGUAAUGGUGACAGAAUUGCUUAGCCCGCCUGUGCUACCUUAUCAGUCAAUUGAGCAUAUUCGGCCAUCCAUAUUACCAGGAGUACAGAAGUUAUGCCUUUCAGUGGAUUAUAUUACAGACACCAUGAUCAGCACAAUAACUAACAAUAUCAACUGUUUGACACAUUUGGACCUUCGAGACUCGCCUAUUAUGGAACCAAGGUUGGCAUUUGAUCUUACCAAUGCAGGUAUACAACAAAUUAAUCUGCACGGGAGAUUGAAACAUUUGUCGUUGGUGAGAAGUCAAGAGAUUUUCCCAGCUUACUUCAAGCGAGUUAAUGAUCUCGGUAUUCUUCUUAUGGCUGAUAGAUGCUCUGACAUGGAAAGUAUUUGUCUUGGUGGGUUUUGUCAGGUUACAGACACAGGUUUUAGAACAAUUUUGCAUUCAUGUUCGAAAAUUUUCAAGCUGAGGAUCUAUCAUGGACCCCACUUGACUGAUCUUGUAUUUCAUGACAUUGCUGCAACUUCACUUACUUUGACACAUGUCAGUUUAAGGUGGUGUAAUCUAUUAACAAACCAUGGCG